UGGGGAAUAUUGCACAAUGGGCGAAAGCCUGAUGCAGCGACGCCGCGUGAGGGAUGACGGCCUUCGGGUUGUAAACCUCUUUCAGCAGGGAAGAAGCGAAAGUGACGGUACCUGCAGAAGAAGCGCCGGCUAACUACGUGCCAGCAGCCGCGGUAAUACGUAGGGCGCAAGCGUUGUCCGGAAUUAUUGGGCGUAAAGAGCUCGUAGGCGGUUAGUCGCGUCUGCUGUGAAAACUCGAGGCUCAACCUCGGGCUUGCAGUGGGUACGGGCUGACUAGAGUGCGGUAGGGGUGACUGGAAUUCCUGGUGUAGCGGUGGAAUGCGCAGAUAUCAGGAGGAACACCGAUGGCGAAGGCAGGUCACUGGGCCGCAACUGACGCUGAGGAGCGAAAGCAUGGGGAGCGAACAGGAUUAGAUACCCUGGUAGUCCAUGCCGUAAACGUUGGGCACUAGGUGUGGGGUCCAUUCCACGGAUUCCGUGCCGCAGCAAACGCAUUAAGUGCCCC
rnacentral:rRNA from 1 species